CGCAUUUUUAGGACCGCAUCUUUAGGACCCUAGUUUUUUGUGACAGCGUCACCUGUCGGAUUGGAUCAUGGAUGCGCUAAUGGACGACACGGAUGACAAGGAAAGUGCCAUCGUACAUCCUCUGGGUGUCUUGAGGAGCUGGUCUUUGGAUAAUGCUGAGCAGGUCUUUCUUUCUGGUAAAGAUUAUCAUUACAGUGAAGUUAAAGAAUUCAACAGACAGAUUUACAAACAACUGACGAAAGAAGAGAGACGAUUCAAUAGAGGCCUCUAGAGAUCGUAACCUGUGAAGAGAUGAUGCCACCAUAGAGGACUUCUAAAUGUAUCCAUAAUCCUGAAACAAACCGUAUCAUGAGCAGAUGCUGUGGUGGUCAUGGAGAAGUGGAGAGCAUGAGACUGAUUAAUGAAAGACCCCAGUGACAGAUGAGUGCCCACAUUGACCCUGUGGUCCAGCCUGAAAACCAGCUGGUGACCUACUCACACCUGCAGCUUCUCCACGAUGGACGCCCAAUGUUUGCCUCAAGCGCCUAGACUGCAGCUCUGCACGUGAAGUGUGGCCAGAAGAGAAAUGGUUGUGCCCAACUGAGCCUAGUUUCUCUCAAGGAGCUAAAGUCUACAGCCAGUCUGAAUGCAGCAACUGAAUAAACAGUGGGGUCAUUUUUGUGGUUGAAUUGCAUUAAUGAAAAAUAAAAGUGUGGAUAUUUAUAUAAAUGUACAUUCUUGAA